GUGCUCACUUCAGCAGCACAUACACUAAAAUUGGAAUGAUACAGAGAAGAUCAGCAUGGCUCCCAUGCAAGCAUGACACGCAAAUUCACGAAGCAGUCCAUAUUUUU
ensembl:snRNA U6 U6 spliceosomal RNA